GCAGCCGUAGUGUAGCCUGGUUAACAUGUCGCCCUGUCACGGCGAAGAUCGUGGGUUCGAAUCCCAUCGGCUGCG
rnacentral:tRNA from 1 species